rnacentral:rRNA from 1 species
CCUACGGGAGGCUGCAGUGAGGAAUAUUGGUCAAUGGACGAGAGUCUGAACCAGCCAAGUAGCGUGAAGGAUGACUGCCCUAUGGGUUGUAAACUUCUUUUAUAUGGGAAUAAAACGUUCCACGUGUGGGAUUUUGUAUGUCCCAUAUGAAUAAGGAUCGGCUAACUCCGUGCCAGCAGCCGCGGUAAUACGGAGGAUCCGAGCGUUAUCCGGAUUUAUUGGGUGUAAAGGGAGCGUAGGUGGAUUGUUAAGUCAGUUGUGAAAGUUUGCGGCUCAACCGUAAAAUUGCAGUUGAAACUGGUAGUCUUGAGUGCAGUAGAGGUGGGCGGAAUUCGUGGUGUAGCGGUGAAAUGCGUAGAUAUCACGAAGAACUCCGAUGGCGAAGGCAGUUCACUGGACUGCAACUGACACUGAGGCUCGAAAGUGUGGGUAUCAAACAGGAUUAGAUACCCGAGUAGUC